CAAGGGCAACCGGCGAACGGGUGCGUAACACGUGAGCAACCUGCCUUUGUGUGGGGGAUAGCCGGGCUAACGCCCGGGUAAUACCGCAUACGGUUCUCGAGAGGAGUCUCUUGGGAAAGAAACCUCCGGGGCACGAAGAGGGGCUCGCGGCCUAUCAGCUAGUUGGCGGGGUAAUGGCCCACCAAGGCGACGACGGGUAGCUGGUCUGAGAGGAUGGCCAGCCACAUUGGGACUGAGAGACGGCCCAGACUCCUACGGGAGGCAGCAGUGGGGAAUCUUGCGCAAUGGCCGAAAGGCUGACGCAGCGACGCCGCGUGUGGGAGGACGCCUUUCGGGGUGUAAACCACUGUUGCCCGGGACGAACAUCCCUUUUCGAGGGGACUGACGGUACCGGGUGAGGAAGCACCGGCUAACUCCGUGCCAGCAGCCGCGGUAAUACGGAGGGUGCGAGCGUUGUCCGGAAUCAUUGGGCGUAAAGGGCGCGUAGGUGGCGGGACAAGCGUGCGGUGAAAGCUCGGGGCUCAACCCCGAGUCGGCCGUGCGAACUGUUUUGCUUGAGCACUGUAGAGGCAGGCGGAAUUCCGGGUGUAGCGGUGGAAUGCGUAGAGAUCCGGAAGAACACCGGUGGCGAAGGCGGCCUGCUGGGCAGUAGCUGACACUGAGGCGCGACAGCGUGGGGAGCAAACAGGAUUAGAUACCCUGGUAGUCCACGCCGUAAACGAUGGGCACUAGGCGCUUGGGGGAGCGACCCCCCGAGGGCCGGCGCUAACGCAUUAAGUGCCCCGCCUGGGGAGUACGGCCGCAAGGCUGAAACUCAAAGGAAUUGACGGGGGCCC
rnacentral:rRNA from 1 species